UCACUGAUCAACCGAUCGAAGCUCUUCUUUUUAAAGAUGGAAAGUUGGAAGGAACCGACAGGAGUAGAAGCGCAGGACAGUUAUGUGUCUCGAUGCGAUGUGCUUGUCUUAGGAGAAAGAAUUUGAAACAUUUCAAAUAUUCACUUACAUCUGCAAGUGAAAUGGAACUCCAAGAACAUCAAACCUUUCUACUUCAAAAUCUACUCCAAUGGUCGCCUUAUAGUUGUUGUCAAAAAGUUUGUGACAAAAACUGAUAAACGAGAUAAUAUUAUUUUUAUAAUGUUUGAAUUAAUAAAAUUAAAGGAGUCAUUCUGGCUGAAAAUUUAGAAAAAUUAUCACAGAGUUUUUCGGAGAUGGAGGUAGCUAUGCUUAUUUACAAAAAUUCCUUUUUUCGGAAAUUUGUUUUCUAUUAGUUUAAGCUGUGAUAAAAGGUACAACAAAAUUUUAAACCAAAACUCAUUGUUUUUAUGGAAAAAUAAAUUCACGGAAAUAAUUUUAUUUUUGCAUUGUUUGACCAGAAUAGCUCCUUAAGUUAACACUUUGUAGGCGAGCUCCAUUUUUAAACGUGCAGCGACAAAAUUUAGUUGACUAAUUACAUAUAGAGUUAUUUGCCUAAAAAAAUAAAGUAAUUGUUAUUUUUACAAGAAUAAUCAAUUUAUUAUUUUGUACUGCUGUCUAUCACAUCACUGAAAUUACAGUCUCUCGCUUACGAAGUUUGUUCUUGUCCGAACCAUGAUCAUAAUCUCCCGUCUACAAAGUGUUACACUGAAAAAUAAAUUUUGAAUUUAUAUUAUAUUAUACCGAUUUACUAAUGAAGUUUUUCCAACCGCUACAUCUCCAAUGACAAUUACUUUCGAUAUUCGAAGGAUAAAAGAUUUCUCUGCACAAGCUUGUUUAACGACAUCGUUGAAAUCUCUCUCGUAGUAAGGAGUUAUCGCUGAAGAAAAUGGGGGUGGCCAUUUUUGAAUCUAUUGAUAAUUAUAUUAUUAUAUUUUAUGCAUACAAAUUAGAAUAAACAAUAUAAAGCA
rnacentral:lncRNA from 1 species